GCCGGGGUGGCGGAAUUGGUAGACGCGAUGGAUUCAAAACCCAUUACCGCAAGGUGUGAGAGUUCGAUUCUCUCUCCCGGCA
rnacentral:tRNA from 1 species